rnacentral:lncRNA from 1 species
CUUCUCUUGAAUUCCUGGCCUCCUUCUGCCCCUGACCUCCUGGGCAGGCCCUGGCAGCAUGGGUUGGCUUGCUUUCCUUCAGCCUCUGCACUUGCAAGGUCCCACCCCGGUGUGUGCACAGCCUCCCAGGGUGGCCGAGGGCUGCUCGUGCAGCAUCAGGACUGGUGGCAAGGAAGAAGGGAUGCUGUGAUGCUGUGCAUCAGUGCACUGGGCUGCUGGACGUGUCCAAAGUGCUGAAGGUGAUCCCAACAUCAGCCCUGUUUGGGGAGAUCUCCAUGCUGGAGGCAUCAGCACAGCCACCGGGAGGUGAGCCACCUCCUGCCCUCCUCCAAGCACUGCCCCACUGCUGGGCACAAGCCUCUACCCAUGCACAUGCCAGCAGGCUCCUGAGCCGCUCUGUUCUUCCUGCCAUGACGCUUUCCAGGCAGAUGGUUCCAGGUCAGGGCUGCCCAACACUUCUGCCAGCGCGGGAGUGUGAAGGGCUGGGAAUGAGCAGCUGAGGGCGAGGGGCCCUGCUGCAUCACGGCCGGAUUAUGGCAGCUUAACACAUCCAUCAGAACCCAGACAGCCUGGCUGCAGGGGUGGUGCAGGGAGGCUGCUGGGGAUCGGCACAAUUGCACAGCUUUGCGGGAAAAGGUACCAUACCCCCAGCAUCCCCUUCCCAGAGGGGAUCCCAGGCUUCAAGCUGCUCCCACAUCACCUCUGCAUCCCCUGGGUCUGUGUCCAGCACGCUGGGAUGGCGUCAGACCUAUCUGCUCCGCAACCAAGGGUGAGGCAACACGGUGGAAAUGGCUUUGCUGGCUGAUCGUGUUGCUUGCUUUGUCAGCACUCAGAAAAAUGCUGCACACAAAAAUGUGCCCUCCUCAGCAGCUGGGAGCAGCGACGGAGCCUCGUGGCUCAUGGAAAUACCCUGCCCUGCACAUCUGUGUUUAGGCAGCGUGAUUCAGCAGCCCUGGAUGUCACCCAUCCCAUCGGCCUUGUAUCUCUGAGCAUCUCCAGGGGCACGUCACACAGCUCAGGUCUUCUCUGCAGCAACCAUGACCACGGUGGAGAUACAUGCAUCCCUCCAUGGCCGUCCCUGGGCUCUGCCUGCAGUGGGAUCCCACUCCUCCUCCUCUGCCCUCUGGAAGGCAUUCACUGGUUCCUCCACAGUCUCAGUCCUUCCUGAUGAGCUCAGUGACACACCACCCACCUGCCACCAGAAAGGUUUUUAAAGCCAGUAGAAAGAACUGACCCAGCACGGAGCUCUUGGGAAAAGGCUUUGGGCUUCUCUUGGUUGCCAGAGAGCUGCAUCCUGCGCAAGAAACCUGAGAAGCUCCAGCUUUGCAAUGACUCUGCUGUGCGCUUGAGCUCCCGUGGAACCGUGAUCAAACCUUUGACAGGGAAGGCAGACCUUUCUGGUAGCUGUGGUAGAAGUGACAGCUUUGGCUGAUGCAAGAGCACGGGGAGUUCGUUAUCCCCAAAACAAUCUGAUGUGCUGGAAAACUGCUAAGUGUGGGG